AUGAACGCUGGCGGCGUGCCUCAUACCUGCCAGUCGAGCGCACAGAUGAGGAGCUUGCUCCUCUGACGUUAGCGGCGGACGGGUGAGUAACACGUGGAUAACCUACCUAUAAGACUGGGAUAACUUCGGGAAACCGGAGCUAAUACCGGAUAAUAUAUUGAACCGCAUGGUUCAAUAGUGAAAGACGGUUUUGCUGUCACUUAUAGAUGGAUCCGCGCCGCAUUAGCUAGUUGGUAAGGUAACGGCUUACCAAGGCAACGAUGCGUAGCCGACCUGAGAGGGUGAUCGGCCACACUGGAACUGAGACACGGUCCAGACUCCUACGGGAGGCAGCAGUAGGGAAUCUUCCGCAAUGGGCGAAAGCCUGACGGAGCAACGCCGCGUGAGUGAUGAAGGUCUUCGGAUCGUAAAACUCUGUUAUUAGGGAAGAACAAAUGUGUAAGUAACUAUGCACGUCUUGACGGUACCUAAUCAGAAAGCCACGGCUAACUACGUG
rnacentral:rRNA from 1 species